rnacentral:tRNA from 2 species
GCUGUUAUAGCUCAGGUGGUAGAGCGUCACAUUGGUAAUGUGGAGGUCACGAGUUCGAGUCUCGUUAACAGCU